rnacentral:lncRNA from 10 species
ACAUCUCCAGCAUGCAAGAACUUCCAAACACCCGAACCGCAGUGGCCAGGCAUUCCUCCAGAACUGCCUCCCCUAGGAGCUUGCUACAAGUGCCAGAAAUCUGGCCACCAGGCCAAGGAAUGCCUGCAGCCCGGGAUUCCUCCUAAGCCGUGUCCCAUCUGUGUGGGACCCCACUGGAAAUCGGACUGUCCAACUCAUCCGGCAGCCACUCCCAGAGCCCCUGGAACUCUGGCCCAAGGCUCUCUGACUGACUCCUUCCCAGAUCUUCUCUACUUAGCAGCUGAAGACUGACACUGCUUGAUUGCCUCAGAAGCCUACAGGACCAUCACAGACACUCUGGGUAACUCUUACAGUGGAAGGAACCAAGUCUAGAGGAGCU